UGCUCUUCCGAUCUGAAAACCCCACAAAAUCAUGCAAAUCAAGAGGUUCAAAUCUUCAUGUUCACUUUAAGAACACUCGUGAAACUGCCCAGGCCAUAAAGGGUAUGCAUAUCUGAAAAGCCA